GUCGAACGAUGAAACUCAUUUGAAUUCUUCGGAAUGAAAAUAAGUGGAUUAGUGGCGAACGGGUGAGUAACACGUGAGUAACCUGCCUUAGAGAUGGGGAUAGCCUUAGGAAACUGAGAAUAAUACCCAAUAACAUAAAGCCAUCGCAUGAUAGCCUUAUCAAAGAAUCUCGCUCUAAGAUGGACUUGCGUCUGAUUAGCUAGUUGGUAAGAUAAAAGCCUACCAAGGCAACGAUCAGUAGCCGGCUUGAGAGAGUGUACGGCCACAUUGGGACUGAGACACGGCCCAGACUCCUACGGGAGGCAGCAGUGGGGAAUUUUGCACAAUGGGGGAAACCCUGAUGCAGCGACGCCGCGUGAUUUAGAAGGCCUUCGGGUUGUAAAAAUCUUUUGUAUAGGAAGAAAAUGACAGUACUAUACGAAUAAGGUCCGGCUAAAUACGUGCCAGCAGCCGCGGUAAUACGUAUGGACCGAGCGUUAUCCGGAAUCAUUGGGUGUAAAGGGUACGUAGGCGGUUAAAUAAGUUAGAAGUGAAAUCCCAUAGCUCAACUAUAGUAAGCUUCUAAAACUGUAUAACUUGAGAAAUGAAAGGGAAAGUGGAAUUCCUAGUGUAGCGGUGAAAUGCGCAGAUAUUAGGAGGAAUACCGGUGGCGAAGGCGACUUUCUGGUCAUAUUCUGACGCUGAGGUACGAAAGCGUGGGUAGCAAACAGGAUUAGAUACCCUGGUAGUCCACGCCGUAAACGAUGAGUGUUA
rnacentral:rRNA from 1 species